rnacentral:rRNA from 1 species
GCGGCAGCGCGGGGGCAACCCUGGCGGCGAGCGGCGAACGGGUGAGUAAUACAUCGGAACGUGUCCAGUAGUGGGGGACAACCAGUCGAAAGAUUGGCUAAUACCGCAUACGAUCCACGGAUGAAAGCGGGGGACCGCAAGGCCUCGCGCUAUUGGAGCGGCCGAUGUCCGAUUAGCUAGUUGGCGGGGUAAAAGCCCACCAAGGCUACGAUCGGUAGCUGGUCUGAGAGGAUGAUCAGCCACACUGGAACUGAGACACGGUCCAGACUCCUACGGGAGGCAGCAGUGGGGAAUUUUGGACAAUGGGCGCAAGCCUGAUCCAGCCAUGCCGCGUGAGUGAAGAAGGCCUUCGGGUUGUAAAGCUCUUUCGGCGGGGACGAAACGGUCCGUGACAACACCACGGACUAAUGACGGUACUCGCAGAAGAAGCACCGGCUAACUACGUGCCAGCAGCCGCGGUAAUACGUAGGGUGCAGGCGUUAAUCGGAAUUACUGGGCGUAAAGCGUGCGCAGGCGGCUCCUUAAGUCAGAUGUGAAAGCCCCGGGCUUAACCUGGGAACUGCGUUUGAAACUGGGGGGCUAGAGUGUGGAAGAGGGGGGUGGAAUUCCAGGUGUAGCAGUGAAAUGCGUAGAGAUCUGGAGGAACACCGAUGGCGAAGGCAGCCCCCUGGGCUAACACUGACGCUCAUGCACGAAAGCGUGGGGAGCAAACAG